rnacentral:rRNA from 1 species
AUUGAACGCUGGCGGCGUGCUUAACACAUGCAAGUCGAACGCGAAAGGGACUUCGGUCCUGAGUAAAGUGGCGCACGGGGGAGUAACGCGUGGAUAAUCUGCCCUUAUGUUUGGCAUAACAGUUGGAAACGGCUGCUAAUACCGGAUACGCUCAGAAUGAACUUUUUGAGGAAAGAUGGCCUCUGCUUGCAUGCUAUCGCAUAAGGAUGAGUCUGCGUCCCAUUCGCUUGUUGGCGGGGUAACGGCCCACCAAGGCAACGAGGGGUAGCCGAUUUGAGAGGAUGAUCGGCCACCAUGGAACUGAAACACGGUCCAGACUCCUACGGGAGGCAGCAGUGUGGAAUAGUGCGCAAUGGGCGAAAGCCUGACGCAGCGACGCCGCGUGAGGGAUGAAGGUUUGCGGAUCGUAAACCUCUGUCAGAAGGGAAGAAACUACGUUGUGCUAAUCAGCAGCGUACUGACGGUACCUUCAAAGGAAGCACCGGCUAACUCCGUGCCAGCAGCCGCCGUAA